AACCCAAAUUUUGACUUCUGUCGUGUGUGCAUUUGCUACGUGCUCAAAAGUACAGGACAGCCUGUGCUGAAGGCCUCAGCUGAACUUUAGACUUUAGAAGACUUCUGUAUUAAUAUAGAAAUAGAAAAACAAAAAGAUGUAGAUUUCCAUCUAGUCUCACAGAACGUUUAUGUUUUGCGCUUAUGACGCUGUUUGUCUGAGUUUUGGCUUCACACGUCUGUAUUUUGAGUUAUUUUUGAUCCUUGUGGGUUUUUGAUAAGGGAGACAAUACAGCCUGAGGUCUAUACAAUACAAUAUCUCCUGAGGUCUUUGCAACCCUGCAUUUAGCUGAGCAACACCCAAAGGCAACAACUAUCUGUUGAUCUUCUAAAAUGUGGAAGUUAAACUGGACUGCAAGGCUCAUCUGGUAUCUUUAUAUGGACCAGAGGCAUAUGACCAAUGUCUUUCUAUCUAUUUGAGACAUGACUUCAUUUCUGGAUCACGAGACUCUUUGCUUGAAGAGACUACAUAAGGAGGUGCAAACCCCUCCUUCCUCAGCUCAGACUGAGUUCAGCCUAGACCCUUCUAGCUGGACUUAGUCUUUUCUCACCUUCUUUAUCUUUGAUUCCGGGCUCACUUGAAUACUUUGAACUUCUCUCAGUUUUGGAGGCACCCGCUGGAGAUCGUUGAAGUUUUCAUUUUAUUAAGUUUUGAUGCAACGCAAGACAAAAUAAAGAGAGGUGAGUAGCUCAUCCUUUUCUCUUUAUGGGCUUCUGUGGUGUUGCCUGCCGGGUCUAGGAGAUAUAUCUGUGGACCCACCUCGUUCAUUAAUCUUGACUGCAGCAAGAGAACGAGCCUGGGUCAUAGCCGGUGGUAUAACCGUAGACGGUGGUUUAACCGUAUUUGAAAAAUCAGCGCGCGCUGGGGGACGAGACGGCGAUCCGCGGCAUUAAAUGUGUUGUUCACUAUUGAGGGUUACUGGUAGUGUGGAUAAAUAUCUGCGCUUUACAUCCUGCGGGGUUACCGGGGGUGUAUUGCGAGCACUUGUGGGUUAAACCAAAAAUGCAACAGUAUUUUGAGACACGCGCUGUGAGGGUUUACUCACAGCGUGCUGGUCGGGUCUGAAUGCCGUCUCUUGUUUAUGGAUAUAGUCUCUGGGAUUAGACUUGGCAGUUUUCGACACAAACAGAACCCCACCUUGCGACUAAAUUUAAAAUCAAUAAAUUGUCAGACGGUGCAUUAAGUAAAAAUAAGUAGAAAUUAAGUAAAAAUAAGUAGAAAUUAAGUAAAACUAAGUAGAAAUUAAGUUAAAUAAGUAAAGGAAUUAAGUAAAGUAAGUAAAGAUAAAUAAAAAUAAGUAAAGAUAAGUAAAAAUAAGUUAAGAUAAAUAAAUAAUUAAUUUUAAUUAAGUGUAUCUGAAUUGAAUAAACCUUUUCCUUGUUGGAUUUGUCAGCACAUGAGAUAAUGGCACCUGUUCAAAUAAAAGAAACUCCAAAUGAAUAUGUGAUGUAGAAGAAAUAAGACAGAAAAUGGUUAAAGAUGGAUUUAGAGAGAUUUCGGUUCCACGCAGAUAGAGUGAAUGGGUGUUGACCCCUUAACGGUCACUCACGUUUUUGAAGAUAGACUUGAAUUUGCAUAAUACAAACCUAAAAUUUUACAAUUCAUGACCGAAAAUAUUUUGUAACAUGAUUAUGAUGUGCCAUUUACAUGGUAAUGUAAUUGUCUGAUUUUAAAAUGGGAUUUAAAGGAUGAAUUUUGAGAUUUUAUGUUUUCAAGUGAUAUAUCACUUCUGAUGAUUUAUGAAAUGUGAUAGAGAAAAAGGCAACGAGGAAGUCUUCUUUUGUAAUGUAGAUUUCUGAGUGUGUACUCUUGUCAUAAAUGAAUUUUAUUACUUUUCCUACAUAGUCUUUUAACAAGAAUAUUGGUAAAAUAUAUAUUUGAGAGUCUUGGACUUUUCCAAUGGUAUAUAGUUUGUCAGGAUUGGAUUUGAUUUGAUUGUGGUGUGGUGUAGUCGGCGCAGGCGUCCCGUAUUCGGGACGGGGUGACAGUUAACAGGUUGAAGGAAAUUACUGAUCACAAAGAACAGAAGAAAUAGGCACGUGUUUUAUGUUGUUUAUAGAUAAGGAAAGUCAAAGGGCUUUUGACAGACAGAAAUGGUAGAAUUGUACAGGUUUAUAAUUUAGCGCAAGCAGCUAGAGAGGCUAUAAGAUAUGUGGGAUUUAUUAAAAAUCUUGUAACAAAGGAGCCAAGAGCCGAUAUAGGCAAAGCUCCUAAGAUUGAUGACAUUUAUAACUGGCAGAAAUGUAACAGAUUUCUGAGAAUUGUGAAUAUAGUUUGUUAUUUCUCCUGGCAGUUUGGAAGAGCUGAGGCUGAGUGGGGCAAAUAUGUGAAAUUAUAUUCCAGGUUACCAUGUUAUAAGCAGGUGGCCAAGUGGGGGUCUAUCGAACUAUUGGUGUGCGUGAUUUACCUAGCAUUGUAAACACGCUGCCAAUUAUGAAAUCUAACUGUACUAAUUACAACCGCAAAUGAUUUUGCUACUUAAUUUAACGAACUGCGUAUUGAAGUACAGCAUGUGAUUGGAUCAGGAAUCCAAAUUUUUACUAAUGUAACAUUGAUCAGACAGGGCACUAACGAGCCCUUUGUUAAAUAUACUGAGCAUUUCACAUGAGCUUUGAAGGAGUUUGUUGCUACAAAAGAAGCUGUUGAUUUGAAAUCUCAUAUACUGUUACACACGGCACACGUGGGGAACCAGAGCUUAAGAUAUUGUUGAUCAAACGAAAAGAGCAGAUGAUGCGAUUGGAUCACCCUCUGUCUCUGUAAUUACCUGUUAUAAUUGUCAGGAAACAGGCCACUACGUAAAUAGGUGCCCUGAGCGAGAUGGAGAGCGAGGGUUUUAAAAUGUUUAAAAAGGUUCCUCUUUUCAGCAACAGCGAAGGCUACCAAAGUAGCCCCCCCCCCCCCUUCGGCCUCACUCUCAAAAUAGAGGUGAUGCAGAAAAAAGGAAAUCGACAUGCAGGCACAGCUUAAGCUGCUGAUGCCACAGGCUGACCAAAGCACUUGAGAUCAGGAUAGCUACAUAUUUAUUUAGCUACUCUAAUUUACAUUUUACAAAUAAACACAUGACUCUUCGAGGAUUAUCUGAUGGCAGUCUUUUCACAGUCUCAAUUAAUCCCCUUAAUAAUUUAUCCACUUAAGUAAACCCUUUCGGGUGCAAUUCUGGGUUGGAGAAAGUCAAGUUGGCACUGUAAUGGGAAUGGAUAUAGUGGAGAAAUUGGAAGCAGAUAUUUUAUUAACUAAAUCAAAUAGUUAGUCAAUUUUUGCCAGUUCCCAUUCCAGUCGUCAGAAAAAUUGAACUCCUAAAUUUAACAUUGGAGCUGUUACAGCAAAUGAGAAAGAGGCUACUGACUCUCCAAUGAUACAAUACUUUUCUGAGAAAUUUUCAGAUUUGUGGUCAACUUCUAAACUUGAUGGUGGUCUUUGCAGAAUUAAACCUCUAAAUGUUUCAGGUCCUGCACCUCCUCCAGUAUUCCAGUAUCCUCUUCGGAGAGAAAGAGAGAGCGGCACAGGCAAAUUGUGACCCAGCUCGAGAAAGGGAUUGUGGUAAGAUGUGCCUCUCAAUGUGAUUCACAUGUGGCCUGUAAGAAAGCCAGACGAUAACUAUAGGCUUACUAUAGACUAUACCGCAUUGAAUGCUGUGACCACCAAAGCAACCCCAUUGUUGCCAAUCAUUCAACCAUUUUAAAAGAAUCGUGCGUGCCGUCUGUUAUAAUUCAAUAUUGUGAUGAAAUUUUUCUUACAUCUAGAAAAAAGGUGCAGCAUCUGAGUGUACUCACUCUCCUGCUGAGAGCACUUCAAGAGGCUGGCUUCCUCCUGAACAAACAGGAAGUACAGCUGUUUCAACCAUUAUUACAUUUUUAGGUCAGAGUGUUGGUCGUGAGGGAGAAAGACCUCUUCCAGAUCGGGUCAUAACAAUUACAAAAUUAAAGAAGCCAACCACAGUCACUGGUUUAAGAUCAUUAAUGGGGCUAUUUAAUUUUAAUCGGGUUUAUUUCCCUGAUUUUUCUGAUUUGGCUGAACCUCUAACCGAGGCUCUUAAGGAAGGCCUUCCGGGUGCUUCCCCUCUAGAGUGGACAGCAGACAUGGCUGAGUCUUUCACUCUUCUCAAAUCCGCACCAGCCUCUUCUCCUGUGUUACAUGAACAAAACCGCUCCACAUUUGGACACAUGUAGGCCCGAAUGCUUACAACUGCGUGCUGGGACAGCAUCAAAGUGACAAAAGUUUUGGAACUGUUGGAUAUUACUCAAUUGUGAUUCCUUCUUCUAUGAAAGGACAGAUGCCAUGCUUGAUGGUGUUGGACUGUGCAGAGUGAGCACUGAAGUUCACCGAGCACAUUGUCGGCUACAACCAGACUAUUUUACAUACCCCACACCGCUUUUUACGUUUGCUACCUGAAACAAAGGUGAAAUCGAUCUCAAAUCAGCGACCUGCUAAGUGGGAAACUGCUCUAAUGAGUCCUCAGCUUACUGUUGUUACAGAUAACCGGACGAACCCUGCCUCCCUGAUGGACAACGAAGGGAGUGCAAAUGACUGUGCUGUGGUGGUUAUUUGUGACAGAGGACAUUUCGUCAGAAAUUAGACAUUUGCAAAUGUCAUGGACAUGUUCGUGGAUGGCAGCAGCUUUUAUGAGGGGGAAACACGCUACACAGGUUGGGCGGUAGUAGAGGGAGGAGGGGCGAAGUCUGUGCUGAAGGGUCGCUACGGGGAGGAAGUGCUCAGAUCGCUGAACUGCAUGCUUUGAAAGCUGCUUUAAAUUUUACACUUAAAUUAACUGCAAGCGAAAAUAGCUCCAUUUAUGUGAAUAUUUUUACUGAUAGUGCCUACAGUUAACAUGUAGUGCAGAGUUAUGGCCCUGUCUGGAAACGUCGCGGUUAUAUGACCACCGCCGGUACGCCAAUAAGUCAUCAAACCAUUAUUAAAGAAAUUCUUGAAUUCUUGAAACUUGCGAGAAAAUUUCACCUAACUGUGUUGCGGUUUGCAAGGUUACAGGUCACAGUACUUUCAAUGAUUGGUGGGCAAAAGGAAACUCGCUAGCUGAUAAGGCUGUGAGAGAGGCGGCCAGGGGUGCAUCACUUGGAGAGGUAACUGCAAUUUUCCCUGUUCAUCCAAAUUGUGCAGGAUCAGAAACUCUAUCUAAAUUGUACACAAAUGAAGAUAAUGAAAUAUGUCAAAAAGGUUAGGAGCUAUUUUAACUGAAGAAGGAAUUAAUGCUCUAAAUGAAAAGGGUGUUCCGCCUAGCAGAUAUUAAUUGAUCUAUACCACAGGAUUGCACACCAAGGGGUUCAUAAAACUAAUACUAUGUUACAACAAACAUGGUUUUGACCAGAGAUGUUACAAACUGUGAGGGACAGACUGUCCAGAUAUAUCCAUCAUUUACAAACAAAGCCACGAUUAUGAAGAGGUAUGAUAUCAAUUAGCCACAGUCCUCGUCCGCGAGGACCUUUUACACAUUGACAGGUAGAUUUUAUUUUUGUACCCUCUGAUCAUGGGUACACAUUAUGCACAUUUAAGGAUGCCCAUUCAGUGCCCUCAGCGUCCAAAAUGCUGGAGACUUAAAGACUGCUGCAUUUAAUUUAACGGCUAAAAUCCUGUACAAGUGGGGGACAAAGUAAUGGUUCAGAAAUAGGGAAUUUAGGUCCAAUGUCUUCCAGGUAUGAAGGUCCUUACUCAGUGUUGCUGACUACUCCAACUUUUCUCUCUACUCAUUGAAAUCGAGCCAGGCUUGACUCGAUGGAAGCAUCUUGCACAAGUGAAGCCCCUGUUACAGCUUGCUUAUACUAACAAUAUCUCUCAAUGCACAAUAGAUUUUCUUUUAUAGACUAAGGGUACCCUUUCUAAAAUUAAGGUUGUAAUCAAUGUUUGUUUUCAACCUCUGUGAGGUGAUUGAGGGUCUGACUUAUGUCAGGAGUGUAAUAAUUGAUUGAUUCAAUUAUCGAUUAUUUAUUUAGUGAUUGUUCACUUGCUUCCAGAGAAUCAAAAUUAACCAAAAUUCACCAUAUCUGUUCCUUAGGUUGUUGAUGAUACCGUUUUCACUUUGAAUUUGUCCAACAGGUGUAAGCUCUAUCAGACGAAUUGCUACUAAGGACGAACAAUGAUUAAUGAUUAAUUGUUUACUUCUCUCCAGGUUUCCAAUGCUGAGUUCCCCUGGAUCUAAUGUAUAUAUUUGUUUAUAAAAUGAUGAAAUGAAACUGAAAACCAUAAUGUUUACAUGUAACAAUUGUGAUUAAUGUUGUUUUAUCUGUCUUGUUGUGUCCUUGUUCGUGUGUGUGUGUAAAUGUUAUAUGUAAUGUUUGUCGCUUCGCUUUGGCAUUAUGUGUGUGUGUGUGUGUGUGUUUGUGUUUGUGUUCUUUUUGUUUCCACAUAUUUCUGUUCCUACUACUCUAAAACUAAACAGGUAUGAGUGCAUGCUGAUACGGACCUAUCCUGCGUACAUUUACCACACGACUGGUUCUAAGGGUGACCCUUUGGUGUGACUUCUGCAACAGUGCAGCUCAUCGACGAUUCGGGAGAGGUUGCUGUGCUCGUAGCUGGACAUCAGUGUUUGAUCCCAAGAACUGGACGCAUCGUCAUCACAUCGCACGCUAACUCUACAUCAUCUGAGAGACUUGUGCUUUCAUCUACCAGCUGAUAUAUAGAUUUACAAAUCCCUACAUCAAGAUGCCUCACAAGAUUAUUGAUCAAAAAGAUUAUUUUACUCCUAUUGCUGUCAGCAAUGAUGAAGAAAUGUAUGAAUUAGAGGUGAAGGGUAAGGAAAGAUACGAGAUGUUGAAAAAGAUCAACGAAAGUUUGGAAAUUUGCGACAUGAUACCCCAAUCUGAUAAGGACAAAUAUCUUAAGAAGCUACCCAUUAAGAAGAGAAAGUAUGAUGAUAAGUUUAGAGAUGGAAAGAAGGGUAUGCUGUAGUAAGUCCUCGACCCAGCAAAAGUCCAGGUGAGGUCAGGGGUCGGAUGCUUUUAGUGCUCCUCGUCUGAUCAGCUUGGUGAAGAAUUCCUGUCAACUUAACGCGGCUGGGGUUAAAGAGGUAUCUACAGUCUACCUGAAAAGAUUCAUUCACUUUUAUAUUUCCUUUAUGCUUACACGAUUAAGUGCUUAUCUGAAAUGUUUUACUUACUCAUUUUUCUGCAUAUGUAUUUGUUACCUUUGACUAUUAUGUAUCUUAUUUUCAAGGGAAAGGAUUUUGGGUGCGAGUCUUUUUGUCAAGACUCGAGUGGGGGACUGAUGUAACCCAAAUUUUGACUUCUGUCGUGUGUGCAUUUGCUACGUGCUCAAAAGUACAGGACAGCCUGUGCUGAAGGCCUCAGCUGAACUUUAGACUUUAGAAGACUUCUGUAUUAAUAUAGAAAUAGAAAAACAAAAAGAUGUAGAUUUCCAUCUAGUCUCACAGAACGUUUAUGUUUUGCGCUUAUGACGCUGUUUGUCUGAGUUUUGGCUUCACACGUCUGUAUUUUGAGUUAUUUUUGAUCCUUGUGGGUUUUUGAUAAGGGAGACAAUACAGCCUGAGGUCUAUACAAUACAAUAUCUCCUGAGGUCUUUGCAACCCUGCAUUUAGCUGAGCAACACCCAAAGGCAACAACUAUCUGUUGAUCUUCUAAAAUGUGGAAGUUAAACUGGACUGCAAGGCUCAUCUGGUAUCUUUAUAUGGACCAGAGGCAUAUGACCAAUGUCUUUCUAUCUAUUUGAGACAUGACUUCAUUUCUGGAUCACGAGACUCUUUGCUUGAAGAGACUACAUAAGGAGGUGCAAACCCCUCCUUCCUCAGCUCAGACUGAGUUCAGCCUAGACCCUUCUAGCUGGACUUAGUCUUUUCUCACCUUCUUUAUCUUUGAUUCCGGGCUCACUUGAAUACUUUGAACUUCUCUCAGGUUUUAUUCAUCUCAAAUAUGAUUAUUAUUAUAUUAUUUGUUCUUAUAUGAAUAUUAUUAUAACUUUUGACUCUUGAUAUACAGGGUAUUGUUGUAUACUUUGUAUUAUUAUUUUUAACAUCUUGAUUACUUUUGAAUAUUAUAAUGCAUUUUGUAUUACUUUUAAUUGGGCAACAUCCAUCAUACAUGGAUUGCUUUUAAAACUAUAUUAAUUUUGGGAUUUGUAUUUUCUAUAUUUGAAGCUGAUUUUAAUACUUACUAAUCUGUUUGCAAGUUAUGAGUUGUAUUCUCAUUUCCUAUAUUCUUUGAAUAAAUUUGCAUACUAAAAUACCACCCCACCGUCUGA